GAUGAACGCUGGCUACAGGCUUAGCACAUGCAAGUCGAGGGGAAACGACGGGGAAGCUUGCUUCCCCGGGCGUCGACCGGCGCACGGGUGAGUAACGCGUAUCCAACCUGCCUCUGACUGAGGGAUAACCCGUCGAAAGUCGGCCUAAUACCUCAUGGUAUCGUCUGCGGGCAUCCAACGACGAUUAAAGAUUUCAUCGGUCAGGGAUGGGGAUGCGUCUGAUUAGCUUGUUGGCGGGGUAACGGCCCACCAAGGCUACGAUCAGUAGGGGUUCUGAGAGGAAGGUCCCCCACAUUGGAACUGAGACACGGUCCAAACUCCUACGGGAGGCAGCAGUGAGGAAUAUUGGUCAAUGGGCGAGAGCCUGAACCAGCCAAGUAGCGUGCAGGAAGACGGCCCUAUGGGUUGUAAACUGCUUUUAUGCGGGGAUAAAGUGAGGGACGUGUCCCUCAUUGCAGGUACCGCAUGAAUAAGGACCGGCUAAGUCCGUG
rnacentral:rRNA from 1 species